GAUGAACGCUGGCGGCGUGCCUAAUACAUGCAAGUCGAGCGAACAGACGAGGAGCUUGCUCCUCUGACGUUAGCGGCGGACGGGUGAGUAACACGUGGAUAACCUACCUAUAAGACUGGGAUAACUUCGGGAAACCGGAGCUAAUACCGGAUAAUAUAUUGAACCGCAUGGUUCAAUAGUGAAAGACGGUUUUGCUGUCACUUAUAGAUGGAUCCGCGCCGCAUUAGCUAGUUGGUAAGGUAACGGCUUACCAAGGGAACGAUGCGUAGCCGACCUGAGAGGGUGAUCGGCGACCCUGGAACAGAAACAGGGUCCAUAGUCCUACGGGACGCAGCAGUCGGGAAUCGUCCGCAAUGGGCGAGAGCCUGACGGAGCAACGCCGCGUGAGUGAUGAAGGUCUUCGGAUCGUAAAACUCUGUUAUUAGGGAAGAACAAAUGUGUAAGUAACUAUGCACGUCUUGACGGUACCUAAUCAGAAAGCCACGGCUAACUACGUG
rnacentral:rRNA from 1 species